rnacentral:rRNA from 1 species
GAUGAACGCUGACAGAAUGCUUAACACAUGCCAGUCAUUGGCGAAGCUGCGCUUGCGCAGUCUAGCCAAGGCGGACGGGUGAGUAACGCGUAAGGAACUUGCCCUGCAGACAGGGAUAACAGACGGAAACGACUGAUAACACCUGGUAUUGUCAGGCUGGCGCAUGCCGGCCUGAUGAAAGGAGACACUGCAGGAGAGCCUUGCGUCCUAUUAGCUAGUUGGUGGGGUAACGGCCCACCAAGGCGAUGAUAGGUAGCCGGCCUGAGAGGGUGAACGGCCACAAGGGGACUGAGAUACGGCCCUUACUCCUACGGGAGGCAGCAGUGGGGAAUAUUGGACAAUGGGGGCAACCCUGAUCCAGCAAUUCUGUGUGCACGAAGAAGGUUUUCGGAUUGUAAAGUGCUUUCAGCAGGGAAGAAGAAAGUGACGGUACCUGCAGAAGAAGCGACGGCUAAAUACGUG